AGGGCGCCACCAGGAGUGGAGCCUGCGGCUUAAUUUGACUCAACACGGGGAAACUCACCCGGCCCGGACACCGGAAGGAUUGACAGAUUGAUAGCUCUUUCUUGAUUCGGUGGAUGGUGGUGCAUGGCCGUUCUUAGUUGGUGGAGCGAUCUGUCUGGUUAAUUCCGAUAACGAACGAGACUCUAGCCUAUUAAAUAGACGUCGGGUUCUCUGCACUCGACGGUCUUCUUAGAGGGACAAGGUGCUUUUAGCACCGCGAAACAGAGCAAUAACAGGUCUGUGAUGCCCUUAGAUGUCCGGGGCCGCACGCGCGCUACACUGAAGGAAGCAGCGUGUAACAACCUUGUUCUAACGAACUGGGUAACCCGUGGAACUUCCUUCAUGAUUGGGAUAGGGGUUUGCAAUUGUGCCCCUUGAACGAGGAAUUCCCAGUAAACACUAGUCAUCAGCUAGUGCUGAUUACGUCCCUGCCCUUUGUACACACCGCCCGUCGCUACUACCGAUUGAAUGGUUUAGUGA
rnacentral:rRNA from 1 species